rfam:Ictidomys tridecemlineatus contig044679, whole genome shotgun sequence.
GGGAUUGUGGCUCAAUGGUAGAGCACUUGCCUGGCAUGUAUGAGGCUCUGGGUUUGAUCUUCAGCUCCA